rnacentral:rRNA from 1 species
UACGUAGGGUGCAAGCGUUGUCCGGAAUUAUUGGGCGUAAAGAGCUCGUAGGCGGUUUGUUGCGUCGGCUGUGAAAUCCCGAGGCUCAACCUCGGGUCUGCAGUCGAUACGAGCAAACUAGAGUGUUGCAGGGGAGACUGGAAUUCCUGGUGUAGCGGUGAAAUGCGCAGAUAUCAGGAGGAACACCCGGUGGCGAAGGGCGGGGUCUCUGG